rnacentral:lncRNA from 1 species
CGCAUUCAGCGUUAUCACUCCCAUGGCAGAAUGAACAUGAUGGUCACCCAGGACAGGAGACCAAGAACACCCGCAGAGCCUCUCUCUCUCUCCGUCUCAGGGGCUAGAACACUGGAGUUCCGUCCCAGGCCUUCUGGUCAGGCCUGAGUGACACAGAGGACACUUGGACCAAGAGAAGCAGGGAAAUCCCAGGAGCCGUUGGCAGCCAGUUUUGCUGAACUAUAGCGACAUCAGGCACAACAUCAGACACAGAAGCAGCAACCUUACACAGAGGUAUGAACCUGCUCCUACAAUUAUAUCACUUGUAGUUCCUAUAAAACAUCCCUUAUUCUGUGAAACUCAAUAUGUUUCUGCUUCUAUGUUCAAACCCUGACUGAUACAGAAAUAAAGGGAUUUCUUGAGUCCAGAAAGGAUGCUGGCCACCCCUGUAGUAGGCUCCAGAAGUUUGUUUCCAUUUCUCAAUAAUGCAAGCACACAGCCGUCUUCCAAGCUGCUCCUAAAUUACACACAUCAACAUAAAUGUGCACAUGCUUCCUGCGGACGCGGAAUGGCAGCAUGCAGAACCAGGGCUUGGACCACUAUUCCCAGCCUGGUGUGACAGCCAGAGUGAUAGAGUCAGGAUUCAUCUAAGAAGGGCACUGAGGGGCUGUCCCAGCAGCAGGGUUGAGAAGGUGUCAGGUGAGUAAACUUGCAGGAACCACUAGAGUAUCUCAGCAUG